CUCUGACCCAAAACACUUGACGAACACAUAAGGGGUCAAGAUGACGCGUACUGGAUUCAUUGAAUUUAUUUAAAGAAAACGGAUCCUGUUUCUGUCGUCAUUUUAAGGGUAAAGUUGAGACUUUGAGGUCUGGGAGGACCAAUGACUGACUUCUGCCAAUCAAAGCUCCACUGGCAGUGAGGAGGGACUCCAGCGCAAUGAAUCAUUCGAACCAGCAGACUUUCAACUUAACAAAAAGACUUGAGGCACUAUUAUACAUCCUUUGUUUUUUGUGAGGCUCUUUUCCGAACAAUGCACAUAAGGAUACAUUUUUCUCUUCCACUUCUUUGAUAAUUGGAUUUGUAUUUAUAAGCUCUUUCAUGCAAUGAUUAUAAUUAUGUCGUUGUCCUUUGGAUCAGUUCACUUGUGAAAUCUAGUCACAAUAUGGCUUGUAAUCUAAAAUGAAUAAAGCUGGAUCCAUA